UAGUACAUAAAGCGUCUACGUUGAAACCUUGCUACAGAACACCAGACGCUACAUAGUCGGGUACACCUCGGACAGCGACUGUGAUCAUACAAGGAGGAUAUAUCUGUGUGUUUGUUAUUCUGGGCAACUGUAGGGCAUGGAGUCCAUCAUGAGUCAGGCAGGUGAACCGUUCAGGAAUAACGCGGAGGACAGGUGUACUACACAGUCCCGUGUGAUGUCUACAGGAGAGAAGGCAAUGGAGCCAUUGGAAGCAAAGACUAUGGACCUU